rnacentral:tRNA from 1 species
GAAAUAUUAUUCAAAUUUUGAAUUUCUAAUUCAAAUAAAAAUAUUAGAUUAUUUAUAUUUCU